GGCUUGGUGGUCUAGUGGUAUGAUUCUCGCUUAGGGUUCACCCUGAAGCAAAUUUGCGAGAGGUCCUGGGUUCAAUUCCCAGCCAAGCCC